CAAUAUUCCGCCAUCUUACAUCGUUGUAUAACUCGUCUAGUGUCUAUCUAUAAAGAGACGAGUUUCUCUCGCUUGUCAAUUGUUGAGAAAUGGCUUUCCUACUGAGUCUUCUUCUUGGCGUUUAUUUAGCUCCAUUAGCUCUUUCAGAUCUUAUCAUUAAUGUCCAGCCAGAGGUCAUAUCGCCAGUGUUCACGUCACAACUGAUGAUCAACUGUUCUGUAACUAACAACCAAGUUCCAAACAUUGAUGUCAUCAAAUCUGUAUCACUGUCACGUUUUAACGAAACGAUCAAAGACUUUUAUGUUCUUCUGUCACUGGACACUCAAACUUUCAAUCUCCAACAAUUUGUUCAGUUCAGACAUGCGCAAGUCAGUUUUGGAAAUCUGUUCCUUUCCUUAACUGUCUACAAUCCUGUUCAGUCUGACGCUCAAACUUACAGAUGUAACGUUGAUGGAGAUAACUCUGUUCAGAAAAAUGUUCCCAUGAAAGCCAAGAAAGAAGUGAGAUAUGAACCAAAUGUCACAGCAUUGAUUCAAGAAAUCACACGACUAAAGAUUUCUGAAGAUAUAGAAAAAUGUUCUUCGAAAAAUGUAGAGCUUUCAGGAUACAAUAAUAUAAGAUCAAAACUUCAUUUCGUUGGAAGUUCAGAAAUUGUAAAAGAACUCAUAGAACCCUUGACAGUCAAAUGUUCUUUUCUGGCUUCCAACGAUAGACCUUAUGAAGAUUCAGUUCUUCAAUCCAUGUACAUACUUCACGAGACUAAUGAUGUUAUUGCAACUAUAUCUAGUGAUCAACCUGUUACCAAAUCUGGACAAAAUCUGAGCUCCAAUACAAUACAAGGCGAACUCUAUCACAACUUGUCUAAAGAUUCCUAUCUUCAAGUCACAUGGCAAAAUGUGAAAUUGUCAGACUCUGGGAAAUAUUUUUGUGGUGCUCAUGUCAACAAUUUAUUCGGACAAAAAGACAGACUUCAGGAGGAGCUUGUCAUUUCUGUACAAAGACCGACUUUGGAUGAUUUGGUCAAAGUUGUGCAGGACUUGCAGAGAGAAGUUGGUGAAGAAAAACAGAGGCAAAAAACUAGCGAACAAAACAUAAUAAAUAUUCAUGAAGAAUUCAAGGUUCAUCAGAAAAAUAUGACGAGUGUAAAGGAAGACCUGAAAAUCAAUCAACAAAACAUCGAAAAUGUUAAAAAAGAUAUGAAAAUCAAUCAACAAAACAUCGAAAAUGUUAAAAAAGAUGUUAAAAUCAAUCAACAAAACAUCGAAAAUGUUAAAAAAGAUGUUAAAAUCAAUCAACAAAACAUCGAAAAUGUUAAAAAAGAUAUGAAAAUCAAUCAACAAAACAUCGAAAAUGUUAAAAAAGAUGUGAAAAUCAAUCAACAAAACAUCGAAAAUGUUAAAAAAGAUGUGAAAAUCAAUCAACAAAACAUCGAAAAUGUUAAAGAAGAUGUGAAAAUCAAUCAACAAAACAUCGAAAAUGUUAAAGAAGAUGUGAAAAUCAAUCAACAAAACAUCGAAAAUGUUAAAGAAGAUGUAAAAAUCAAUCAACAAACAUCGAAAAUGUUAAAAAAGAUGUGAAAAUCAAUCAACAAAACAUUGAAAAUGUUAAAGAAGAUGUGAAAAUCAAUCAACGAAACCUUACCCGCUUGAAAGAAACAAUAGAUUUAUUACAGUACAAUCUUUCCAAUUAUGAAGGAAAAACAAAUUACACAUCUCUAUUACAAGAAUUUCAGAAAACUUUAAUACCGGAGUCAUGUCGUGGCAUCAUCCAUAAAAAAGAACGCGUGGAGGUGACAUUAGCUUCCGGGUUAAAGGUCAUGUGUGACACCAAGAC